rnacentral:rRNA from 1 species
UAAGGAAUAUUGGACAAUGGAGGCAACUCUGAUCCAGCCAUGCCGCGUGAAGGAAUAAGGCCCUAUGGGUUGUAAACUUCUUUUAGACGGGACAAAACCCCUUUACGUGUAAAGGGUUGAUGGUACUGUCAGAAUAAGCAUCGGCUAACUUCGUGCCAGCAGCCGCGGUAAUACGAAGGAUGCAAGCGUUAUCCGGAAUUAUUGGGUUCAAAGGGUGCGUAGGCGGACUAAUAAGUCAGUGGUGAAAGCCUGCAGCUUAACUGCAGAAUUGCCAUUGAUACUGUUAGUCUUGAGUACAGUUGAGGUAGGCGGAAUGUGUCAUGUAGCGGUGAAAUGCUUAGAUAUGACACAGAACACCGAUUGCGAAGGCAGCUUGCUAAGCUGUAACUGACGCUGAGGCACGAAAGCGUGGGGAGCAAACA